GGUUCCGAGGAGCGUUGCAGCGUCCCCAGCUACCGGCGGGGCGUGAGGCUCGGAACCCAUUCUUGCAACGACGCUCACCCACG
rnacentral:ncRNA from 2 species